CAUGGAGAGUUUGAUCCCGGCUCAGGAUAAACGCUGGCGGCGUGCUUUAUGCAUGCAAGUCGAACGGUUCUCUGUUUUUCGGAAUAGAGAAUAGUGGCAAACGGGUGAGUAACACGUAAGUAACCUACCC
rnacentral:rRNA from 1 species